rnacentral:rRNA from 1 species
UACGAAGGGGGCUAGCGUUGCUCGGAAUUACUGGGCGUAAAGGGCGCGUAGGCGGCCUUGUCAGUCGGACGUGAAAUUCCUGGGCUCAACCUGGGGACUGCGUUCGAUACGGCGAGGCUAGAGGACGGAAGAGGCUCGUGGAAUUCCCAGUGUAGAGGUGAAAUUCGUAGAUAUUGGGAAGAACACCGGUGGCGAAGGAGGCGAGCGGGUCCGUUACUGACGCUGAGGCGCGACAGCGUGGGGAGCAAACAGG